GAUGAACGCUAGCUACAGGCUUAACACAUGCAAGUCGAGGGGCAGCACUAGGUAGCAAUACUGAGGUGGCGACCGGCGCACGGGUGCGUAACGCGUAUCCAACCUUCCCGUUACUCUUGGAUAGCCUUCCGAAAGGGAGAUUAAUACAAGAUGGUAUUCAAAUUCCGCAUGUUAUUUGAAUUAAAGAUUUAUCGGUAACGGAUGGGGAUGCGUGACAUUAGAUAGUAGGCGGGGUAACGGCCCACCUAGUCUACGAUGUCUAGGGGUUCUGAGAGGGAGGUCCCCCACACUGGAACUGAGACACGGUCCAGACUCCUACGGGAGGCAGCAGUGAGGAAUAUUGGUCAAUGGUCGGAAGACUGAACCAGCCAAGUAGCGUGAAGGAUGAAGGUUCUAUGGAUUGUAAACUUCUUUAAUACGGGAAUAAAACCUCCCACGUGUGGGAGCUUGUAUGUACCGUAUGAAUAAGCAUCGGCUAACUCCGUGCCAGCAGCCGCAGUAAAAC
rnacentral:rRNA from 1 species